rnacentral:rRNA from 1 species
CCUACGGGAGGCAGCAGUAAGGAAUAUUGGUCAAUGGAGGCAACUCUGAACCAGCCAUGCCGCGUGCAGGAUGAAGGCCCUAUGGGUCGUAAACUGCUUUUACACAAGGGAAAACCCGGUACGUGUACCGGGUUGAUAGUAUUGUGAGAAUAAGCAUCGGCUAACUUCGUGCCAGCAGCCGCGGUAAGACGAAGGAUGCAAGCGUUAUCCGGAUUCAUUGGGUUUAAAGGGUGCGUAGGCGGACUUGUAAGUCAGUGGUGAAAUCUCUUUGCUUAACAAAGAAACUGCCAUUGAUACUGCAGGUCUAGAGUAUAGAUGGCGUUGGCGGAAUAUGACAUGUAGUGGUGAAAUACUUAGAUAUGUCAUAGAACACCGAUUGCGAAGGCAGCUAACGAAACUAUAACUGACGCUGAGGCACGAAAGUGCGGGGAUCAAACAGGAUUAGAUACCCUGGUAGUCCGCGCCGUAAACGAUGAUUACUCGUUGUUGGCAAUAUGACCGUCAGCGACCAAGCGAAAGCGAUAAGUAAUCCACCUGGGGAGUACGCCCGGCAACGGUGAAACGUCAAAGUGAAGUUGACGCGNGAGAGACGACGACGACGACGACGGAGGGAGGAGG